rnacentral:pre_miRNA from 1 species
AUGUGAUCUUUAAUUUGUUUCAAUCAAAUCACUCGAAUUUUUUUCCCCUAAAAAAAAACUCGAGUGAUUUGGUUGGAACAAAUUAAAGAUUAGUG